rnacentral:rRNA from 1 species
UACGGGGGGUGCUAGCGUUAUUCGGAAUCAUUGGGCGUAAAGGGCGCGUAGGCGGUCUUUUAAGUCAGAUGUGAAAGCCCUCGGCUUAACCGAGGAAGUGCAUUUGAUACUAAGAGGCUUGAGUAUGGGAGAGGGAAGCGGAAUUCCUGGUGUAGCGGUGAAAUGCGUAGAUAUCAGGAGGAACACCGGUGGCGAAGGAGGCUUCCUGGACCAAUACUGACGCUGAGGCGCGAAAGCGUGGGGAGCAAACAGG